GUUUGGUUUCAUAACAACCCACUAAGGAGCAGUAAAUAAGCAUCCUGCUGAAGUGAAGCUCUGAGAGACGUUGAACUGGUAUUGGCUUUCAGCUACCUCUGCCUGCUGAUGUGAAUUUAUUAGCUCAGUAAGCUCAGUAGUUUCAGGUUGUUGGGAAAGUGAAGGGUUGGGGGCAGAGGGCACUCUGUGGCAUGGAGGAAAAUCAAUGAUAAUUUCUUUUUUUCUUUUUAAAUUUAGAUUUCACUAAAUAGAGAAGGCUUUCAAUUACCUUCUUUGGGAGUGAGGAUUCAAUUAGAGCAAAUUUAUAAAAUUUUUCUAUAGUUCAUUUUGAAAAGUUUGACUUUGCUUAUUAAAAAUCAUAGUCCAACAUACCAAAUAAGCAAAAUAUAUGCUUUAAACUCACAUACAACUCUCGUUCUUCAUCUUUAGGUGAUAUACCCUGGCACAGAUAAGACUUUGGGAUAUAGACAGUAAAAGCUGGUGGAAGUUGCUGAGCAAAAUUGCUAUUAGCAGUUUAAUCACUUGUGUUAAAUGCCACGGAUAUAAUCCAAACUGGGGGCGGAGGGGGGAAUUGCUUUCUGGAGUGCUGAACUUCAGCAGUUUUGUAAGCUUAAGAAAUUUCUAUCAGCAGAAUAUUUGGCUUUCAAUCUUAGGUCGGUAAAUAACAUAAAUAAGUAAUACAGUCAAGUACUGUGAUUCAUAAAUAGAAUCAGAGUGUAUGUCACUGAUCCCAUAAUGUAUGAUUACUUAUUUAUGUUGCUUUUCAGGCCUAAGAAUUAUUACAGUUAUCCCAUGGUUGAAUAAAAAAAAGUACUUAAUGGUUGUUGUCCUGCCUUCCUUUGCUGAAAUCAUGGGCACCUUCCUCUGCACUUUUCCGUGCUUUGUCUCUGGAGUUGUCUCUGUUUUAUGUUGUAGUUAAGUUACUAACCUUUUGGAAGUCAAGAAAGGCCACUCCUAAGAUUUCUAGAAGCACCAGGCUUUUGUUUGUCCUACUUCAAAAGCAUUUCUUUUUAUUACCUGUAAAAUGUACUUUAACCCAAAAGACCAAAAGGGUUUGUUGCUUCUGAACCUAAAUCAGUCUUACAAAACCUGAGUGUUUCAGCUAGUAUUUGAUAUUAGAUUAGUGCUGACCAAAGAUUUAAGUUUCUGGUGCAAAUUUAUUUCAUUUGAUUUCUUCCUCUGAGUUGUCUUUGGAAUUCUUGUUUUUAAUAAAGUUUCUAACUGUGAGCUUAAAGCAGUAAAAAACAGAAAGGAAGAAAAGAAGAAUCCAGAAUUCCUCUUCAUGUAUGGGUUAGGAUAGGGCUGGCAAAUAUAUAUCAUGUGUUGAAGUUGCUUUUCCUGUGCCUAUGGCAGAUACUGCUUAGCCACAAUACUUUUUAUUUCCUGCAGUUCUUAGGAACUUGAACAGUACCUGCCAUUUAAGAGGCUGUUAACUAAUUGUUCAAUUAAUGAGCUUGUGCUCUGUUUCCUGAAGUGAGUUGCAAGCCCUCUGAGAGCAGGUCGUCACUGUAUCUGCUCUAUUAAAUGCAGUUCAUCCCACGAAACUGCACUUCUAAAUAGUUCAAACAUUAUUUUAAAAUAGUUAAACUUUUUUUCUGUGAGGGGAAACAGUUGAAUAUGAGUAUUUGCCUUCCAUUUAAAUAUUGAAGGGGCGUGGCUUAUUAAAUGAGGUGGUAAAGGCAGCCAGAAAUGCAGAGUGUAGAUGUUUAUUAGGCAGUGUUGAAUUAGUAGAACAGUAAACCAUCAGAAACCUAAUUCAGGGGUAGGGAGAAAGUUAUCUUUUGCCUUCUUUUUAUUCCUUUAAUUUUUUCCUGUAAAGUGAAGAGAACAUAAGUUUUGAAGUCAGUUUAUAUUCGUGACUUCAUUUUAUUUUACUUACUUGCUGUGUGAUCUUGAAUGAGAUUUGGAAUUGUUAUACUCUCCUUUACCCAGUUCACAAAGAUUUAAAGUAGAUAUGAUAGUUAUCUCAGUUUAUUUUUGAGAAAAUCUAAUGAUAUAACAUAGGUAACACAUUUCUGUUUUUUACUGUUCACAUUGGAGGAGGGGGUGAGUAGAUAAGUAGCAGCUAUUCGUAAGAGAUGACAUAGAAACAACGUAAAAUAGAAAUACACCCAUGCCCCAAACGUGUCUAAUCUCUCACUUGCCCUUUUUAAAUGACCUAAACUGUCUUUCUCUAAAUUGCCUUUCUGCUUCUUUGUUCUGUCAGCCACUAUAGAGUUGAAAGCAAAUAUGGACAUCUGUGUUACUUUGAUAUUCAGAAUUCUAUAUCUGUGCAACUCCUAGAAAUGCAUGUUCUCAAAGAGAGAACAGUUUUUUUUAGGAGAUCUGUUGCCCCUUUUUGGUUCUUUAAAAUGUAUUGUAUUAUGAAGUGCUUCUUUUUUCAAUAUGGGGGGAAAAGAAAUAGAGACAGAGCUGGGGGGGGUGGGGGGAGGAGAGAGAGAGACUGCUUCCUUUGCUUAAUGUUAUAAGUUUUAUACACAACUGUACUGUUAUUUCUUGCAAGUAUUCUUGUAUUUCAUUAAGAGAGGUAAUUUUUAAAGUGAGGCCAGGCUAAAUAUUAUCUUAUUAUCUUAUACAUUGAAAAGUAAAGAUAUUCUAAGAUUAAAUUUGGUUGGUUUUCUCUAGGAAUCUACAUAUGUACUAAUUAAUACCUUGCUUGCUUAUUACCAAGUUCCUCUCAUUUUACAUUUAUGCAGGCUUCAGUCAGAGCAUCCUGCAUUUAAAUCUUGGAUACAAGCUUCUUCCUCCUGACCCAGUUUAAUGCUACAAGUAUGAAGGGUGAAGGAGAGUACUUUGCAUAUUGGAGUCACUUGGGACUUGUGUGGGAAGGCUUUUGUUUUGCCUAAUUUCACAAGGUGACAAGAGUUCACUCCUCAGCUGGAAGAUAAACUUAGAUAAAUUAACUGAAAACCAUUUUUCACUCUUUCUCACUUCACCUCCAACACACUUUCCUUUUAGAAUGGCUUCUGCCUGUUCCUUUAAGUUCCUCCACUUGCCAAAAAAAAAAAAACGUAGAUGACGCCUGCUGUCAAAAUUUCAUUUAGACAGAGAGCUAUACUGUUUAAAAGGUAGAGACCCCCUACAUUUUUAUUCUGUGAAGGUCAUAUGAUCUAUGGCACAGAAUAGUUAAGCCUCAUUCAUACUUGCCUCCUCAUACCAGGACAGGGAAUGUUCUCUAUCUGUUUCUCUCUCUGAGCACCAGUGCCCUUAAUUCUAAAAUGAAGGGGUAAGGAAAAAAUGUAAGAGUAAAUAUCACUAAGCAUAAUAUGUAACAUGUAAAAGCUCUGAAUACAUGGUAGUAAUUAAUGUUUGAUAUUUGUAUAUUAUAUAUAAUGAUAGAUGUUUUUCACUGAUGUUUCCUGUGCAGUUAGCGGUUACCCAACUUUGUUGUAAGUUUUUCUAAUGAAGCAUUGAUGACUUAAACUCUCUGCCUCAAAUCCUAUCUUUGGACUUAUGUUGUAAAUUAAAGGAUUGUACAUUCUUAAUGUAGACCUGAGUUAGGAUAUUCUAUUCUAUUCUAUUUAUUUUUAAAUGUAUGUCCCAAAUUUUACUGCAGAAAAUGUGAUCACUUUUUCCAUAAAUAAUAAAAACAGAAAAUGUCUCAAGUAUCUUUUGAUUUAAC
rnacentral:lncRNA from 1 species